rnacentral:lncRNA from 1 species
AAGAUAAUGGUGUGAAAUAUGGACAUGAAAAUGGGAGCCUACAGAAUUCUUAUAUUUCUUAGAUGUACCUGAUGCUUUUUCAAAACAAAAUUAUACUGUGCCCCAAGUAUAAUCAUAAUUGUUUUUAUCCAAUCACCAGAAAUUAUUUAUAGCAUCCAUCAAAAUAUUAUUUUUGUGGCUCGCUUGUUAUUUUAAUACAAUGUGUCUGGUUAUUAGGGGAGACGGUAACCCAAGGUCCUGCAACCUGCCUUGAUUUGAGUGGCUCGCUUGUUAUUUUAAUACAAUGUGUCUGGUUAUUAGGGGAGACGGUAACCCAAGGUCCUGCAACCUGCCUUGAUUUGCAUGGUGUGCCUUGGAUAAGAC